AUGAGUUCAGAGUCUCAUCUCAGGCGCCUAACAUUGCUAUACAAUUGCACUGCCAACACCCUCAUCCUGCGAACUGUCAGCAAGAAAAUUGCACCAUGGCUUGCUGCUGGACCCGAGAUUGUGCCUCAACCCACUGCUAUCUGGCCCAUCCACUUACUUCUUGUCAUAGUGUUACUGGUCAUCAUAUCUACUUUGUACCUUGCACUCCGUUCUAGAACUGUAUACCUUGUCGACUACGCUUGCUUCCGGCCAAACUCCAACUUAAGAAUCACAAAGGCAACCUUCCUCGAGCAUGCACGUCUCUCUUCUUUGCUUGAUGAUUCUAUUGUCAAUUUUAUAGCUACUAUUCUUAAGCGCUCAGGCAUGAGCGAUGAGACAUGUGUCCCGCCUGUACAUCACUAUAUAGAGCCAUGUUGUGGGCUUGAUGAAGCACGCAAUGAAGCAGAGUUGGUCGUCUUCUCGGUAAUCGAUGACCUUCUGGCCAAGACUUGCAUUAAACGUGAUGCAAUCGGUGGUCUUAUCACCAACUGCAGCGCGUUCUGCCCCGUACCAUCCAUUGCCGACAUGAUUGUGAACAAAUACAAGUUACGGAGUGAUAUUCGUGUCAUGAACCUCUCUGGGAUGGCAUGCUCAGCUUCGAUGAUCGCAGUGGGGCUAGCGAGCAACAUGCUACAGGUCAUGCCUCGGGGGUCGCAUGUGUUGGUGGUGUCGACAGAGACCAUUGGGCCAUCCUACUAUUCGGGGAAUAAGCGUUCCAUGGUGUUGUCUAACAUCUUGUUACGCGUAGGAGGAGUGGCAAAGUUGUUGUCGACUUCUAGGUCAAAGGCUCGGUUUAGGCUUGUGUAUUUCACUCGGAUAAUCACCGCGGCCAACAACUCUGCCUACCGAUGUGUGUAUCAAGAGGAAGACGAGAAGGGCAACCUAGGCAUCGCUCUCUCUAAAGAUCUUACUGUUGUUGCUGGAGAUGCAUUGAAGGCCAAUAUCAUGGCAACCGGGCCUUACGUGCUACCAACAUCAGAGCUUCUUAAGUUUUCGCUCUUCAACAUGGCAAGAAAGAUGCCCCAUGGGAGGAAUAUCAGACCAUACAUUCCUAACUUUUGUGUUACAUUUGAGCAUUUCUGCAUCCACGCAGGUGGUCCGGCAGUUAUUAGCUCAGUACAACAUGGCCUCAAACUAUCUGACCAGUAUGUCGAGCCAUCGUGGAUGACACUACAUCGGUUUGGGAACCAGUUGAGCUCAUCGGUAUGGUAUGAGUUGGCAUACAUCGAUGCUAAAGGACAGAUGAAGAAAAAUGAUCGGGUGUGGAUGAUUGGAUUUGGUGCAGGAUACGAGUGCAACACAGCUAGUUGGGUCUGUAUACAACCAUCUUCCAGUGCGGAUGGACCCUGGGGUAACUGUAUCAAUCAUUAUCGGAAGGAUAUCUUCAAAAAAAUAUUAAAUUAA
rnacentral:rRNA from 1 species